AGUGAACGCUGGCGGUAGGCCUAACUCAUGCAAGUCGAACGGCAGCACAGUAAGAGCUUGCUCUUACGGGUGGCGAGUGGCGGACGGGUGAGGAAUACAUCGGAAUCUACUUUUUCGUGGGGGAUAACGUAGGGAAACUUACGCUAAUACCGCAUACGACCUACGGGUGAAAGCAGGGGAUCUUCGGACCUUGCGCGAUUGAAUGAGCCGAUGUCGGAUUAGCUAGUUGGCGGGGUAAAGGCCCACCAAGGCGACGAUCCGUAGCUGGUCUGAGAGGAUGAUCAGCCACACUGGAACUGAGACACGGUCCAGACUCCUACGGGAGGCAGCAGUGGGGAAUAUUGGACAAUGGGCGCAAGCCUGAUCCAGCCAUACCGCGUGGGUGAAGAAGGCCUUCGGGUUGUAAAGCCCUUUUGUUGGGAAAGAAAAGCAGCAGGUUGAUACCCCGCUGUUCUGACGGUACCCAAAGAAUAAGCACCGGCUAACUUCGU
rnacentral:rRNA from 1 species